UACGUAGGCAGCAAGCGUUGUUCGGAGUUACUGGGCGUAAAGGGUGUGUAGGCGGUCUUCUAAGUUUGGUGUGAAAUCUCCCGGCUCAACUGGGAGGGUGCGCCGAAAACUGGGAGGCUAGAGUGCGGGAUGGGAGAGUGGAAUUCCUGGUGUAGCGGUGAAAUGCGUAGAUAUCUGGAGGAAUACCGGUGGCGAAGGCGGCAUCCUGGACCGGCAUUGACGCUGGGGAGCGAAAGCUAGGGGAGCAAACGGG
rnacentral:rRNA from 1 species